rnacentral:tmRNA from 1 species
GGGGGCGAACAGGUCUCGACAGGGAGAACUGGAGGAAGAGAAGCAAGCCGAGGUGCCCGAGGCCUCGUAAAACACGGGUGUUUUCAAAAAGUGCCGAAAACGAAUUAGCAAUGGCUGCUUAAAGUUAAGUAGUCCGUCUGCCUAGAGACUUGUUACUCGGUUUCUAGAUGGGCGUCAAAAUUAGAGUAACUACCUUUUCCAAUUGCUCUAAAAGGAGAAGGGAAUUAUUAAAAGAGCUAGGUUAAUAAGCCCUGCGGCUGGGCAGAGGGAUAUUAACCGAAACAAAACACCUAGCCUAAGCUUGUAGAAGCUCUUCUUUUAGGCUUCUUGGACGCGGGUUCGAUUCCCGCCGCCUCCAUAA